rnacentral:rRNA from 1 species
UGGGGAAUAUUGCACAAUGGGCGAAAGCCUGAUGCAGCGACGCCGCGUGAGUGAUGACGUAUUUCGGUAUGUAAAGCUCUAUCAGCAGGGAAGAUAAUGACGGUACCUGACUAAGAAGCCCCGGCUAACUACGUGCCAGCAGCCGCGGUAAUACGUAGGGGGCAAGCGUUAUCCGGAUUUACUGGGUGUAAAGGGUGCGUAGGUGGUAUGGUAAGUCAGAAGUGAAAGGUGAGGGCUCAACCCUUAGACUGCUUUUGAAACUAUCAAACUAGAGUGCAGGAGAGGUAAGUGGAAUUCCUAGUGUAGCGGUGAAAUGCGUAGAUAUUAGGAGGAACACCAGUGGCGAAGGCGGCUUACUGGACUGUAACUGACACUGAGGCACGAAAGCGUGGGGAGCAAACA